CAAUAGCGUAUAUUAAAGUUGUUGCGGUUAAAAAGCUCGUAGUUGGAUUUCUGUUGAGGAUGGCCGGUCCGCUCUAUGAGCGUGUAUCUGGUUCAGCCUUGGCAUCCUCUUGGGGAACGUAGCUACGCUUGAUUGCGCGGUGCGGUAUUCAAGACUUUUACUUUGAGGAAAUUAGAGUGUUCACGGCAGGCAUUCGCCUUGAAUAUAUUAGCAUGGAAUAAUAACAUAGGACCUUGGUUCUAUUUUGUUGGUUUCUAGAGCUGAGGUAAUGAUUAAUAGGGAUAGUUGGGGGCAUUCAUAUUUCAUUGUCAGAGGUGAAAUUCUUGGAUUUAUGAAAGAUGAACUUCUGCGAAAGCAUUUGCCAAGGAUGUUUUCAUUAAUCAAGAACGAAAGUUAGGGGAUCGAAGAUGAUUAGAUACCAU
rnacentral:rRNA from 1 species